GGGUUUCACCAUAUUAGUCAGGCUGGUCUCAAACUCCUGACCUCAGGCGAUCCACCUGCCUCGGCCUCCUAAAGUGCUGGGAUUACAGGUGUGAGCCACCAUGCCUGGCCUAUUUUUUGUAUUUUUAGUAGAGGUUUCACUAUGUUGGCCAGGCUGGUCUCGAACUCCUGGCCUCAGGUGAUCCACCUGCCUCAGCCUCCCAAAAUGAUGGCAUUAUAGGUGUGAGCCACUGCGCCCCUCCUGGUCUCCUGAUUUCAAUACUGUGCUGGGUUUUCAGAAAGCCAGGUGCCAGGCCAGGGCUUGCAGAGGGGCUGAAAUGAAGCCAGGCCAGAAGACAGAGCAGCCAGGACUCUGACUGGACAGAACAGCCAGGACUUGGGCAGCAGCACUAUUGGGAUUUGGGGGCUCUCCAGCCCGUUUGGAAGAGCCUAGGCUCUCUCUGCCCGGUUGCAUAGGUUCUCAUACUCAUGAUGGGGGGGUGCGAUGGGGAAGCCGGGCAUGGGAGAGGAUGGCUCAUGCCCUGAAAGUCCAUGAGAGGCCUCCUCUCCCCACAUCUGCAGAAACCAGCCUGGACACCAAGUCUGUGUCAGAAGGCCACCUCAAGAGGAACAUCGUGGUGAAGACCGUGGAGAUGCGGGAUGGAGAGGGUACCCACCCAGAGACAUCUGGUAUCAUUUAACAAACAUAUUGAAGGACAACUGGUCUUCAGAGCUGAAGAGAGCUCCUAGGGGGAGAAGUUGGGACAACAGUGAAAUAAGUAGCAGCAGCAACGACAGAGGUGAAUGGUGACAAAGACUGCUGUGAUGAGCAGGUAGCCUAUCAGGGUGAGCUCCACAGCUGAGCGAGUCUCAGGAUCUGAGAACGAGGCUGGGUAGCGCCCACGAGAUAUCACACCCAGCCGGAAGCCAGCAACUAGCACACCCUGCCUCCAGCAAUAGUAGAUGCCCCGGUCAUCCAGCUGGGUGAAGCGGAUGUGGAGCUGGUUGCCGUGGUCAAUGAACACCCUCAUGGACCUGUUGACACCCUUCAGGUACUGUGUGCGGUAGAGGUGCUGGCGGUCUUUGUCCCAGGCCACUGCAUGCUCUGGCCGGGCCCCAGGACAGGAGAUGAUGAGUCCAUGGCCCAGUCUCUGCUGGUGGAACUGAAUGGGCACCUGGGGCACCCAGGGCCGGCUGCCCACUUUGGACACAUAGUUAAUGAUGGCCAGCACGCCCUCCCGGAUGGUCUUUGUCUUCUCACAGGGUACUAAGCAGCUCCGAACCAGCACCUCAGGCGUGUGGUCCCUGGCCUUGGUCCGCAGCUUCCUUGGCACAGCCCUUGAGCCACAAGACACCACAUCAGGCACGGCCUUGAGGUAGCGUGGGGAGAGGUCUGGGCUCUGCAGGUAGCAGAGGCCGAUGCGCCACUGCUCCCCACGCACUCCGCAGCGGUCACAGGGGGUCCAUUCCCAGAAGGUGGUGAAGACAUGGAGGUGCCCAUAGUAUUCAUCUGUGAAGGGCUCCUGGCCCUCGUCCUGGAAAGUGGCCACCAUUCCCUCACUGUUCUGGAUGUCCACAUCGUAGGCGUAAAAGUAGUCCCCCCUGCGGGUGCCGCAGAAGUACAGGCCUGAGUCCUCAGGCUGAGCCCUGAAAACCAACAAGCUGAACAUGCGGAUGCUGAAGCGGGUCAGCAUGUCGCUGCCCACACGUACCUGGGCUGCCUCCGUCAGCACCCGCCCAUCGAAGUCCGUCAGCACUUUGGUGUGGCUGCUACCUAGGUGCUUUUGGUAGAACCAGACUACAGCUGGCACCUCUUCGGGUUUGCAGUGACAGGGAAGCUCAAAGCUCAUGUCGGCCAGGUAGGCUGCAUUUUCAAACAUCAGGAAAGCAGGGCAGGGGGUCUUCUGAAAAAUGUUUUCCUUCUCCACAAUUUCAAAGGCCUGGAGACUCCCCCAUGCCCACAGGAGCACAGUGGUGAGGGCCAGGUGCAUGCCUGAAGGAGGCAGGGGUCAGAGGGGCAGGGCAAAACCAGGGCAUUAAAGGCUCAUAGGGCUCCUAGAAAGCACUGCUAAGCGGAAGCCUCUGGAUGAGGAAAGGAUUAUGCAGCCAGGAAAAGCAGCAACAAUCUGCAGAGGAAGCCGCCAAGUGCAAGGCAAUUUAUUCCCAGUGGAUGUACAAGAUGCCCUUCUAACAUUCCAGACCUGAUCUCGGCGGGGGGAAAGCCAUUCUAGAACCUGGCCUUUACUCCCCUUUCUAGAACACUGGCGCUCACCCAAGAAUGGGUCAAAGGAAACCGGAAUGAGAAGGGCGGGCUGAGGUGCUCGGGCAGGGAGAUCUCUGCCUCAGUGCUCCAGGCCCUGCCCUGCCAGCCUGGUGGAAAAGUCUUUCAUCAACCUGGGGGAUGAAGGAAACCCACCCUCCUGCAUAUCUGGCCAUCCGGGAGGCUGGCUGGACCUGAGCUGAUGGCUUGGGCCUUUCCCAGGCCCAACCUGCACAAGAACUGAGUCUCUAGGGGAAAAUUCAACACCUCAAAUGAUGUAGUAUUUGAUCAUUUGUUGAUUACAUGUCCAUUCAUUGGUUU
rnacentral:sRNA from 1 species